UACGUAGGGUGCAAGCGUUGUCCGGAAUUAUUGGGCGUAAAGAGCUCGUAGGCGGUCUGUUGCGUCGGCUGUGAAAACCCGGGGCUCAACCCCGGGCCUGCAGCCGAUACGGGCAGACUAGAGUUCGGCAGGGGAGACUGGAAUUCCUGGUGUAGCGGUGAAAUGCGCAGAUAUCAGGAGGAACACCGGUGGCGAAGGCGGGUCUCUGGGCCGAUACUGACGCUGAGGCGCGAAAGCUAGGGGAGCAAACAGG
rnacentral:rRNA from 1 species